rnacentral:rRNA from 1 species
UACGAGGGAUGCAAGCGUUAUCCGGAAUUAUUGGGCGUAAAGCGUUUGUAGGCGGGCGAGUGUGUUUAAUGUUAAAUCUUAAAGCUCAACUUUGAAAUUGCGUUAAAAACUGCUUGUCUUGAGUAUGGUAGGGGUAAAGGGAAUUCCCAGUGUAGCGGUGAAAUGCGUAGAUAUUGGGAAGAACACUAAACAGCGAAGGCACUUUACUAGGCUAAUACUGACGCUGAGAAACGAAAGGUAAGGUAGCGAAACGGAUUAGAUACCCGUGUAGUCUUACCCGUAAACUAUGGACACUAAACGGUAAAUUUUUAAUUUACUGUUAAAGCUAACGCGUUAAGUGUCCCGCCUGGGGAGUAUGCUUGCAAAAGUGAAACUCAAAGGAAUUGACGGGGGCCCGCACAAGCGGUGGAGCAUGUGGUUUAAUUCGACGGUACACGAAGAACCUUACCAGGAUUUGACAUGCUAGAUAGUUGCUUGAAAGAGUAACGUGCCGUAAGGAAUCUAGACACAGGUGGUGCAUGGCUGUCGUCAGUUCGUGUCGUGAAAUGUUGGGUUAAGUCCCGCAACGAACGCAACCCUUGUCUUUAGUUAUUUUCUAAAGAGACUGCCUGUAAUAAACAGGAGGAAGGUAAGGAUGAGGUCAAGUCAUCAUGCCCCUUAUGUCCUGGGCUACACACGUGCUACAAUGGGAAAGACAAUGAGCUGCAAAUCUGUAAAUUUAAGCAAAUCUCUUAAACUUUCUCGUAGUUCGGAUUGUGGGCUGCAACUCGCCCACAUGAAGUUGGAAUCGAUAGUAAUCGCCAGUCAG